GAUGAAGAACGCAGCGAAAUGCGAUAAGUAAUGUGAAUUGCAGAAUUCAGUGAAUCAUCGAAUGUUUGAACGCACAUUGCGCCCCUUGGUAUUCCGAGGGGCAUGCCCGUUCGAGCGUCAUUAUACCCCUCAAGCCUAGCUUGGUGUUGGGGCCUGCUGUUACCGGCAGCCCUUAAAAUCAGUGGCGGUGCCAUCUGGCUCUAAGCGUAGUAAUACUUCUCGCUACAGGGUCCCGGUGGAUGCUUGCCAUCAACCCCUAAUUUUCUAUGGUUGACCUCGGAUCGGGUAGGGAUACCCGCUGAACUUAAGCAUAUCAAUAAGCGGAGGA
rnacentral:misc_RNA from 1 species